UGGGGAAUAUUGCACAAUGGGCGCAAGCCUGAUGCAGCGACGCCGCGUGCGGGAUGGAGGCCUUCGGGUUGUAAACCGCUUUUGUUCAAGGGCAAGGCACGGCUUCGGGCCGUGUUGAGUGGAUUGUUCGAAUAAGCACCGGCUAACUACGUGCCAGCAGCCGCGGUAAUACGUAGGGUGCGAGCGUUAUCCGGAUUUAUUGGGCGUAAAGGGCUCGUAGGCGGUUCGUCGCGUCCGGUGUGAAAGUCCAUCGCCUAACGGUGGAUCUGCGCCGGGUACGGGCGGGCUGGAGUGCGGUAGGGGAGACUGGAAUUCCCGGUGUAACGGUGGAAUGUGUAGAUAUCGGGAAGAACACCAAUGGCGAAGGCAGGUCUCUGGGCCGUUACUGACGCUGAGGAGCGAAAGCGUGGGGAGCGAACAGGAUUAGAUACCC
rnacentral:rRNA from 1 species